rnacentral:misc_RNA from 1 species
UCCGGUUUGUCACCGGCAGUCUCACUAGAGUGCCCGUUACCGUAGCAACUAGUGACAAGGGUUGCGCUCGUUGCGGGACUUAACCCAACAUCUCACGACACGAGCUGACGACAGCCAUGCAGCACCUGUGUCCAGGCUCCCUUUCGGGCACACCGAACUCUCAUCCGGCUUCCUGGCAUGUCAAGGCCUGGUAAGGUUCUUCGCGUUGCAUCGAAUUAAGCCACAUACUCCACCGCUUGUGCGGGCCCCCGUCAAUUUCUUUGAGUUUUAAUCUUGCGACCGUACUCCCCAGGCGGAAUGCUUAAAGCGUUAGCUGCGCCACUAGUGAGUAAACCCACUAACGGCUGGCAUUCAUCGUUUACGGCGUGGACUAC